AUUGAACGCUGGCGGCAGGCCUAACACAUGCAAGUCGAGCGGAUGAAGGGAGCUUGCUCCUGGAUUCAGCGGCGGACGGGUGAGUAAUGCCUAGGAAUCUGCCUGGUAGUGGGGGAUAACGUCCGGAAACGGGCGCUAAUACCGCAUACGUCCUGAGGGAGAAAGUGGGGGAUCUUCGGACCUCACGCUAUCAGAUGAGCCUAGGUCGAAUUAGCUAGUUGGUGGGGUAAAGGCCUACCAAGGCGACGAUCCGUAACUGGUCUGAGAGGAUGAUCAGUCACACUGGAACUGAGACACGGUCCAGACUCCUACGGGAGGCAGCAGUGGGGAAUAUUGGACAAUGGGCGAAAGCCUGAUCCAGCCAUGCCGCGUGUGUGAAGAAGGUCUUCGGAUUGUAAAGCACUUUAAGUUGGGAGGAAGGGCAGUAAGUUAAUACCUUGCUGUUUUGACGUUACCAGCAGAAUAAGCACCGGCUAACUUCGUG
rnacentral:rRNA from 1 species